rfam:Camelus ferus unplaced genomic scaffold scaffold445, whole genome shotgun sequence.
GAUGGUAUAGCUCAGUGGUAGAGCACAUGCUUAGCAUGCACAAGGUCCUGGGUUCAAUCCCCAGUACCUCCA